UAACGAAUAUUCCGCAAUGCACGAAAGUGUGACGGAGCAAUGCCGCGUGCGGGAUGAAGCGUCUUCGACGUGUAAACCGCUGUCAGGAGAUAGUAAUACUGAACAUCUCCAGAGGAAGGGGCGACUAACUCUGUGCCAGCAGUCGCGGUAAUACAGAGGCCCCGAGCGUUAAUCGGAAUUACUGGGCUUAAAGGGUGCGUAGGCGGAUGCGUAAGUGUCUUGUGAAAGCCCUCGGCUCAACCGGGGAAUU
rnacentral:rRNA from 1 species